rnacentral:rRNA from 1 species
GAAGGCAGUUGAGAGACGCUUGAAUCAGUUUAUCUGGUACUAUGCUGAGGGCAACUGUCGUUAUUUCCACCGGGGAUGCCGCGUAUGGGAGUUCUCAGGAAAGGUGCUGGGUCGAUGUAAGUAUGCCUGAAAGGCAUGAUGGAAAGAUAGUCCUGAUCAUAGAUGGUGUUAAUCCAGUAACGUCGACUGUCUCUAGCAUCGUUCAUUUGAGGACUCUCCAGAGUCGGGUUGUUCGGUAUCACAGCCCAAAGAGGUGGUAAACUCCAUCUAAAGCUAAAUAUGUCCCCGAGUCCGAUAGCAAACAAGUACCGUGAGGGAAAGCUGAAACAGAACUCUUAAAAGAGAGUUAAAUAUUACGUGAAACCGUUACGAGCUUAUAAAGCGGAUGGACGUCCAUGUUCGAACAUGAGCUUUGGCCCUCGUCGGUCUGCGCCUUAAAAACGCAUUCCGAUGGUGCUAGUAUCUCUCAGUAGUCCACCUCGGUUAUUGGAUUUG